ACAGUUGUUCGCUAGCACAAUACAACGAAGCACAUGAGAACAUUGCAAAACUUUAAACACGAACUUGUGCACAUACUGUCUAGUUGUGUGAGUGUUGACAUGGCAAAAGGGAGACUGGUACCCAGAGAGACAACUACCCUGCAUGUCCUGGAGGAGGAUCUAAAAUCCCACUCCAACCCAAUGAAACCAGAUGGCAAUAUCACCAAGCCCAAAACUGAGAAGGGGGCUAGUCAAAGUAUAAAAAGCAGAAAGCAAUGCUGCCCAAAACAGGAAGGUCACAGAUUAUUAUCCUAUUAGACUGAGUUCCAGAAAAAGCAAAGCUGAAUUGAAGAACGAAGAACACAGACACCUUGAUUACCUGAUAACAAAAUGGAGUUGAAGGACUGCAGCCCAAACAUAUAGAAGGGAAGAAGAGUAUUUGCUGCUGUCAGACGUUUCAAGAAGGGGAAGUUUGUAAUUGAGUAUCAUGGAGACUUGUUGUAUCUGGCUGAUGCCAAGGAGAGAGGCUCUGUAUGCCCAAGACCCUGGGACUGGCUGCUACAUGUACUAUAUCCAGUAUCUCAGCAAAACAUACUGUGCGGAUGCUACAAAAGAAUCAACUCGCCUGGGAAGCCUGCUAAACCACAGUAAAACUGGCAAUUGCCAGAACAAAUUACAUGACAUAGAUGGAAUACCUCAUCUCAUACUGGUGGCUUCCAGGGACAUUGAGUCAGAGGAAGAGCUGCUUUAUGACUAUGGUGACCGCAGCAAGGAAUCCAUCUCGGCUCACCCUUGGCUCAAAUACUGAUGUGCUGUUUUUACACCACCAGAGAAUUACUAGGUGCAUUUUAAAGCUUUUUUUUUUUUUACCAUUGCCUUGGCCCUAAACUGCAAACUUGGCAUUCCAGGUGAGACAAAUUAAGUGGGCGUUUUGUUUAUUUUUAAUCUGCCCUUUCAAGCAAUGUAUUUGGGAAAAACUGUGGCAGUAUGAACAAUAUUGAAGACAACCUUCAAGAUGACACAUGGAUCAAUUUGUAUCAAUUUAUUGCUGGAUUUUGGGGUAGUUUUAUACAUAUUUAGGCCUGCGCUUCCAAGAAGAUAUAUUUCUAACAUUAGCUAUUUUUUUAACGGUGUUUUUAUAUUCGUUCUAAUUUAUAAUGCUAGGUAUGGUUCUAGUUGAAGCAACAAUUUUCAUAUGAUUGUCAAUGCUCUCCAAGCUUCUGGGACACCAGCUUAUACUUGAUUUAAAAUGUAGGUAUUUUGCAAUGGGUGAAAUCCUAAUACAUUUUAAACAAUUUACAAAGUAAGUUGCUCUUUGAGAGUAAAUUUAAGUGUACAUGGACAAAUCUGUUCAGAAAUCUGGCUAACAUGGAAGCUCAUUUUGCAAUGAAUAGAAAAGCUAGCUUGGCCUUUGUCAAUGUACCAAUUAAUAUUCACAGACGUAAGUCCAGCAUCCUCCCGGUAGGUCAGUGUAUUUCAAAAUGUGCAACGAAGUGAUUUGUAACUUUAUAAUUCUGAACUGCUUUCUUUACAGCUGCUCUAUUAUUUUUAAGGUAAAAUGGACUUUAAAAGCCCUUGUGUGAACUAGCGUAAAAUAGUUAUGCUCAGCCACUCAGAGCCUAAAAUGUAAAUUUUUAUGCAAUUUCUGGACAAGGAACAAUUUUGGUAACACUUUUAUAUUUGCUACAAGAGCCUAUAGUUAUCUAAUCCACAAAUAAUUUUGGGAGGGAUUCAUUACCAUGAUCUGUGCUACUCAACCCCCAGGUAGAGGCAGAUUAUGCUGAUGGGAUUCAGGUGUAUGAGUUAGGUAUAGUGAAUCUGGGGCAGUAUAGUGGUCGUGGGGCUCGAUUUCCAUCAGUAUCGCUGAAGUUCAGAAUUAAAAAGCCAUUUCAUAUUGAACUGACAUGCAGCGUUUGCCUUAAUGUUGAUUGCAUCUCUUUAGCACUGUGAUAGAAUCAAGCCCUUGGAGGUCCUCUCUUUGUCUCUACUAGGGCUACUGUUGCAACCAGUCUUGAAUGUUGGUCUUUGAAGGGUUCCAUCGUCACAAUUUGGCACAACGUCCAACCACGUGUCCAAAGGAACUGUUACAGUUCCUUUGUUUGAGGACACAGUUGUGAGUCUGUACCAAUGAUGUGUAUAUUAACCCUGGAUUGCUAAUGCUAUAUUUUGAA